GCAAAAGUGGCAGAAUUGCGUGGGAGAGCAGUCCUCCGAAGGCAGAGGCCACUGGUUCGAAUCCAGUCGGGUGCACCA
rnacentral:tRNA from 1 species